CUUGAACCCUAUAAGAGGUCCAGCCUGCCCAGUGAAACAAUUCAACGGCCGCGGUAUCCUAACCGUGCGAAGGUAGCGUAAUCACUUGUUCUCUAAAUCAGGACUAGUAUGAACGGCAUCACGAGGGUUAUACUGUCUCCUUUUUCCAAUUAGUGAAUUUAAUUUUCCCGUGAAGAAGCGGGAAUAAGCCUAUAAGACGAGAAGACCCUAUGGAGCUUUAAACAAUCUAGCAUCUGCCUAUAUCCUUCAUGUUUCAGAACUCUCUAGACCUCCUACAUAAUGACUAGAAGUUUUAGGUUGGGGUGACCGCGGAGUAAAACCCAUCCUCCAUAAUGAAAGAAUUUUAAUUCUUAACCAAGAAAUACCUAUCUAAGUAUUAACACACUGACAUUUAUUGACCCAAUACAAUUGAUCAACGAAC
rnacentral:rRNA from 1 species